rnacentral:tRNA from 1 species
GGCCCCUUGGUCAAGCGGUUAAGACAUCGCCCUUUCACGGCGGUAACAUGGGUUCAAGUCCCGUAGGGGUCACCA